GUGAGGAAUAUUGGACAAUGGGCGCAAGCCUGAUCCAGCCAUGCCGCGUGCAGGAAGACGCAUCUAUGGUGUGUAAACUGCUUUUGUACGGGAAGAAACACUCCCUCGUGAGGGAGCUUGACGGUACCGUAAGAAUAAGGAUCGGCUAACUCCGUGCCAGCAGCCGCGGUAAUACGGAGGAUCCAAGCGUUAUCCGGAAUCAUUGGGUUCAAAGGGUCCGUAGGCGGUUUAAUAAGUCAGUGGUGAAAGCCCAUAGCUCAACGAUGGAACGGCCAUUGAUACUGUUAGACUUGAAUUACAAGGAAGUAACUAGAAUAUGUAGUGUAGCGGUGAAAUGCUUAGAUAUUACAUGGAAUACCAAUUGCGAAGGCAGGUUACUACUUGUGGGUUGACGCUGAUGGACGAAAGCGUGGGGAGCGAACAGGAUUAGAAACCCCUGUAGUCC
rnacentral:rRNA from 1 species